rnacentral:rRNA from 1 species
UGCUCCAGAAUAGCUCUUGGAAACGGGUGGUAAUGCUGGAUGCUCCAACUUGACGCAUGUCUUUGUUUGGGAAAGUGUUUAGUGGCAUGGGAUGGGGUCGCGUCCUAUCAGCUUGUAGGCGGGGGUAAUGGCCCACCUAGGCUUCGACGGGUAGCCGGCCUGAGAGGGCGGACGGCCACAUUGGGACUGAGAUACGGCCCAGACUCCUACGGGGAGGCAGCAGUGGGGAAUAUUGCGCAAUGGGGGGAAACCCUGACGCAGCGACGCCGCGUGCGGGAUGAAGGCCUUCGGGUUGUAAACCGCUUUUGAUUGGGAGCAAGCUUUCGGGUGAGUGUACCUUUCGAAUAAGCGCCGGCUAACUACGUGCCAGCAGCCGCGGUAAAU